rnacentral:rRNA from 1 species
CGCGGCCUAUCAGCUUGUUGGUGGGGUAAUGGCCUACCAAGGCGACGACGGGUAGCCGGCCUGAGAGGGCGACCGGCCACACUGGGACUGAGACACGGCCCAGACUCCUACGGGAGGCAGCAGUGGGGAAUAUUGCACAAUGGGCGAAAGCCUGAUGCAGCGACGCCGCGUGAGGGAUGACGGCCUUCGGGUUGUAAACCUCUUUUAGCAGGGAAGAAGCGAGAGUGACGGUACCUGCAGAAAAAGCGCCGGCUAACUACGUGCCAGCAGCCGCGGUAAUACGUAGGGCGCAAGCGUUAUCCGGAAUUAUUGGGCGUAAAGAGCUCGUAGGCGGUUUGUCGCGUCUGCUGUGAAAUCCCGAGGCUCAACCUCGGGCCUGCAGUGGGUACGGGCAGACUAGAGUGCGGUAGGGGAGAUCGGAAUUCCUGGUGUAGCGGUGAAAUGCGCAGAUAUCAGGAGGAACACCGGUGGCGAAGGCGGAUCUCUGGGCCAUUGCUGACGCUGAGGAGCGAAAGCGUGGGGAGCGAACAGGAUUAGAUACCCUGGUAGUCCACGCCGUAAACGUUGGGAACUAGGUGUUGGCGACAUUCCACGUCGUCGGUGCCGCAGCUAACGCAUUUAGUUCCCCGCCUGGGGAGUACGG